rnacentral:rRNA from 1 species
UACGGGGGGAGCAAGCGUUGUUCGGAUUUACUGGGCGUAAAGGGCGCGUAGGCGGCGUGACAAGUCACUUGUGAAAUCUCCGGGCUUAACCCGGAGCGGCCAAGUGAUACUGUCGUGCUAGAGUGCGGAAGGGGCUACUGGAAUUCUCGGUGUAGCGGUGAAAUGCGUAGAUAUCGAGAGGAACACCUGCGGCGAAGGCGACUUUCUGGCCUGUUCCUGACGCUGAGGCGCGAAAGCCAGGGGAGCGAACGGG